rnacentral:rRNA from 1 species
AUUGAACGCUGGCGGCAUGCCUUACACAUGCAAGUCGAACGGCAGCACGGAGCAAUCCUGGUGGCGAGUGGCGAACGGUGAGUAAUAUAUCGGAACGUGCCCAGUCGUGGGGGAUAACGUAGCGAAAGCUACGCUAAUACCGCAUACGAUCUAUGGAUGAAANCGGGGGAUCGCAAGACCUCGCGCGAUUGGAGCGGCCGAUAUCAGAUUAGGUAGUUGGUGAGGUAAAGGCUCACCAAGCCGACGAUCUGUAGCUGGUCUGAGAGGACGACCAGCCACACUGGGACUGAGACACGGCCCAGACUCCUACGGGAGGCAGCAGUGGGGAAUUUUGGACAAUGGGCGCAAGCCUGAUCCAGCAAUGCCGCGUGCAGGAUGAAGGCCUUCGGGUUGUAAACUGCUUUUGUACGGAACGAAACGGUGAGCUCUAAUACAGUUUGCUAAUGACGGUACCGUAAGAAUAAGCACCGGCUAACUACGUG